rnacentral:rRNA from 1 species
AUGGAGGACGGUGGAGGCGGAGGAGGAGGAGGGGACGGCAAUAGCAUGCAUCUGCUCCUGAGCAUCCUGGCCGACGGCGAGGAGCAGGCGAGGCGGCUCCUCGGCGAGCUGCCGCCGGCCGACGACGAGGGGCAGCUGCUCGGGCAGGGGCCGGCGGCCGAGUGCUGCCGGGGCGUGGCGGAGCAGCUGCUGUGCACGUUCAGGAAGGCGAUCGCCGUCGCUAAGGCCAUCGAGGCGGCCGGCGGGGACUCGCCGCGGUCCGCCAACGAGGGCGGCGCCGGCAUGGCCGGCAGGGACGCGGCGCAGGCGCAGGAGCGCCAAGGCCAAGGCGUCUGCAAGAGAAGGAAGGGGCUGCCAAGAUGGACCGAAAAGUUCAGAAUACCCGACGACGCAAAUCUGGAGUACACGCCGGACGACGGAUUCAGCUGGAGGAAGUACGGCCAGAAGGACAUCCUCGGCGCCAAAUUCCCAAGGGGCUACUACCGGUGCACGUACCGCAACGCGCAGGGGUGCGCCGCCACGAGGCAGGUGCAGCGCUCCGACGCCGACCUCGCCGUGUUCGACGUCACGUACCAGGGAGCGCACACCUGCCUCCAGGCGCAGCGCCGCGCCGCCGCGCCUCCCCCUCCUCCCGACGUCCAACGGUCACCACCGGCGUUGCAGGACCCGGACAUGCAGCUGCUCGAGAAUUUCAGGAACGGCCUCAAGGUGGAGACCGACGGCCUGCCGCCGCCGCCGCCCUGCUUCCAUGGCGACGGCACCACAGCCUUCUCGUUUGCCUACGCCGCGGCAGGAGCAGCGGGCUACUCCCCGGCGGAGAGCGGCGGCCAGCGGCUCCUGCAGGGAGGGGGCUGCUUCGCCCCGGCGACUUUCUCCUCGCCGGCCGCAACGACGUCGGCCGGGCCGGGCUACUUCGCGCACUGCACGCGCGGGGCGCACGAGUCGCCGGAGCUCGCCGAGGUCGUGUCGGCGGCGACCGCCUCGGACCGGGCCGGCUUCGACUACUCGAUGUACCUGCACCAGCACGACCUGGACGCGCACCUGCCGUUCCCGUUCGACCCAAUGUUCGGCCACCCUUCCUCCCAUGGCCAACACGGAGACGCGUGA